rnacentral:lncRNA from 1 species
GGUGCAAGAGCUGGCCUCCAUGGUAGUAGAAGAUCGAGAGCUUGGGGCUGUCGGUGGAGAGGUGACGGCAGGAUUUGUAGGGGCAAAGGUGGUGGUCAUGGUCUUAUCAACAGUGUCGAACUAGGUAGGGCAUCCUUCCAAUAGACCUGCUCAAUGAUGCUAGCAUCACAAAUCGGGACAAGGUGGCUGAAGUUGGGGAAUCAGGGAUUAGGGUUGGGAGAGUCGGGAAGAAGAGGAAUAGGGUCCG